rnacentral:rRNA from 1 species
GAUGAACGCUAGCGGCAGGCUUAACACAUGCAAGUCGAGGGGUAUAUGUCUUCGGAUAUAGAGACCGGCGCACGGGUGCGUAACGCGUAUGCAAUCUGCCUUUCACAGAGGGAUAGCCCAGAGAAAUUUGGAUUAAUACCUCAUAGUAUUAUGCCUCGGCAUCGAGAUAUAAUUAAAGUCACAACGGUGAAAGAUGAGCA